CCUACGGGGGGCUGCAGUGGGGAAUAUUGGACAAUGGGGGCAACCCUGAUCCAGCCAUGCCGCGUGUGUGAAGAAGCCCCUCGGGUUGUAAAGCACUUUCAGUGAGGAAGAACGCCUGGUGGUUAAUACCCAUCAGGAAAGACAUCACUCACAGAAGAAGCACCGGCUAACUCCGUGCCAGCAGCCGCGGUAAUACGGAGGGUGCGAGCGUUAAUCGGAAUUACUGGGCGUAAAGCGCGCGUAGGUGGCUUGAUAAGCCGGUUGUGAAAGCCCCGGGCUCAACCUGGGAACGGCAUCCGGAACUGUCAAGCUAGAGUGCAGGAGAGGAAGGUAGAAUUCCCGGUGUAGCGGUGAAAUGCGUAGAGAUCGGGAGGAAUACCAGUGGCGAAGGCGGCCUUCUGGACUGACACUGACACUGAGGUGCGAAAGCGUGGGUAGCAAACAGGAUUAGAUACCCGAGUAGUC
rnacentral:rRNA from 1 species